rnacentral:rRNA from 1 species
GACGAACGCUGGCGGCGUGCUUAACACAUGCAAGUCGAGCGGUAAGGCCCUUUCGGGGUACGACGAGCGGCGAACGGGUGAGUAACACGUGGGUGACCUGCCCUCCAGCUCUGGGAUAAGCCUGGGAAACCGGGUACUAAUACCGGAUAUGACUCCAUGACGCAUGUUGUGGGGUGGAAAGCCUUGUGCGGCUGAGGAUGGGCCCGCGGCCUAUCAGCUUGUUGGUGGGGUGAUGGCCUACCAAGGCGACGACGGGUAGCCGGCCUGAGAGGGCGACCGGCCACACUGGGACCGAGACACGGCCCA